UCUCCCCACCACUCCCCAUUCCAUGGUGGCCGCCGCCCAUUCUCCCCGCUGCCUGCUCUCCUCCGCACGCCGCGCCGUCGCACGACGCCUCCUCCUCCUCCCCUCUGCCUCGCCCCGCCGCCUCCUCGCCGCACGACGGUCUCGCCUCGCCAGCAACCCCGCCGGUCUUCCCUAGAUAAACUCUGCCGCUGCCAUCCCCAUGUCCUAGCGCAGAUCUAGACAGGAGCUAGAGGGGCAUGCUGGACACGAUGCGGGAGCGGGCAUAUCAUAGAGGACCGAGAUCCAGUGCAUCUACGUGCCCGCUGUCAUUGUUGUCCCCCGUGCUUGGCUCCCACACUCGCUCCGGGUAGGCGCUCGCAGCUCACCUACUGCUCGGCUGCUCUAGGUACUUGACGGACUCAGUUAAAGCACAACGUCAGGCUGCAGCAGAAGCUUGAGGAAUGCAGGGGCUAAUGAUAGUACUCAUCAACCAAAAUUACCGGCGUUGCCAACCAUGCUUUGAACUUUCGGAGAUCAAGCUGUACGGUUGUACAAUGAAGAUUUUUGGUGAAAGGAGGAGCGGCCACCCACUCGACGGUGCGGUGCAGGGUGGCAAGGGAGCCGGCAGGGAGGUGUCAACGCGGUGCAUGGCCGCGAGGGAACCGUCCAGGAAGGCGACGAUGCGAUGCAGGGAUCGAGGCCGCCGUGCAGGGAGCCGACGGGGCUGCUGAGCUUCCUUUGGGGCGGUGGCGAGGAAAGGCAGGAGAGGGGCGAGGGAGACGAUUAGGUUUAGAUUCCUUUUUUUUUCAAAUUUAUUAGAUGGUUAGAUUAGCGUGAUUUGAGGGGCUGCGGAGGUGGGAUGGAGAGUUUCAUAUUUUCGUCUGGUGGAAUACGGUCAGUCCAUGUAAACUGCUAAGCGCACACCAGAUCUCAAAUAAAUUAA